UGACUCAAUCGGCGACCCGCUGACUUAGCUAUCAUUAUGGGGGAAG
rnacentral:rRNA from 1 species